rnacentral:rRNA from 1 species
UACAGAGGUCCCGAGCGUUGUUCGGAUUCACUGGGCGUAAAGGGCGCGUAGGUGGCUUGGUAAGUUUGAUGUGAAAUCUCCGGGCUUAACCCGGAAAAUGCAUUGAAUACUAUUUGAGCUUGAGGAUUGGAGGGGGGACUGGAAUUCUUGGUGUAGCAGUGAAAUGCGUAGAUAUCAAGAGGAACACCAGUGGCGAAGGCGAGUCCCUGGACAACACCUGACACUGAGGCGCGAAAGCUAGGGGAGCAAUCAGG